rnacentral:rRNA from 1 species
CCUACGGGAGGCAGCAGUGGGGAAUUUUGCGCAAUGGGGGAAACCCUGACGCAGCAACGCCGCGUGAGUGAUGAAGGCUUUCGGGUCGUAAAGCUCUGUCAGAGGGGAAGAAAUGAAAAUCGGUUAAUACCCGUUUUCCUUGACGGUACCCUCAAAGGAAGCACCGGCU